rnacentral:rRNA from 1 species
CCUGAGCAGCCAUGCCGCGUGUAUGAAGAAGGCCUUCGGGUUGUAAAGUACUUUCAGUUGUGAGGAAGGGGGUGUCGUUAAUAGCGGCAUCUCUUGACGUUAGCAACAGAAGAAGCACCGGCUAACUCCGUGCCAGCAGCCGCGGUAAUACGGAGGGUGCGAGCGUUAAUCGGAAUUACUGGGCGUAAAGCGCAUGCAGGUGGUUCAUUAAGUCAGAUGUGAAAGCCCGGGGCUCAACCUCGGAACUGCAUUUGAAACUGGUGAACUAGAGUACUGUAGAGGGGGGUAGAAUUUCAGGUGUAGCGGUGAAAUGCGUAGAGAUCUGAAGGAAUACCAGUGGCGAAGGCGGCCCCCUGGACAGAUACUGACACUCAGAUGCGAAAGCGUGGGGAGCAAACAGGAUUAGAUACCCUGGUAGUCCACGCCGUAAACGAUGUCUACUUGGAGGUUGUGGCCUUGAGCCGUGGCUUUCGGAGCUAACGCGUUAAGUAGACCGCCUGGGGAGUACGGUCGCAAGAUUAAAACUCAAAUGAAUUGACGGGGGCCCGCACAAGCGGUGGAGCAUGUGGUUUAAUUCGAUGCAACGCGAAGAACCUUACCUACUCUUGACAUCCAGAGAAGCCAGCGGAGACGCAGGUGUGCCUUCGGGAGCUCUGAGACAGGUGCUGCAUGGCUGUCGUCAGCUCGUGUUGUGAAAUGUUGGGUUAAGUCCCGCAACGAGCGCAACCCUUAUCCUUGUUUGCCAGCGAGUAAUGUCGGGAACUCCAGGGAGACUGCCGGUGAUAAACCGGAGGAAGGUGGGGACGACGUCAAGUCAUCAUGGCCCUUACGAGUAGGGCUACACACGUGCUACAAUGGCGCAUACAGAGGGCAGCGAACUUGCGAGAGUGAGCGAAUCCCAAAAAGUGCGUCGUAGUCCGGAUUGGAGUCUGCAACUCGACUCCAUGAAGUCGGAAUCGCUAGUAAUCGUAGAUCAGAAUGCUACGGUGAAUACGUUCCCGGGCCUUGUACACACCGCCCGUCACACCAUGGGAGUGGGCUGCAAAAGAAGUGGGUAGUUUAACCUUUCGGAGAGGACUCUCACCACUUUGGGGUUCAAGACGGGGUGAUC